CAGUCGCCGCGGUAAUACGUAGGUGGCAAGCGUUGUCCGGAAUUAUUGGGCGUAAAGGGCUCGCAGGCGGUUUCUUAAGUCUGAUGUGAAAGCCCCCGGCUCAACCGGGGAGGGUCAUUGGAAACUGGGAAACUUGAGUGCAGGAGAGGAGAGUGGAAUUCCACGUGUAGCGGUGAAAUGCGUAGAGAUGUGGAGGAACACCAGUGGCGAAGGCGACUCUCUGGUCUGUAACUGACGCUGAGGAGCGAAAGCGUGGGGAGCGAACAGGAUUAGAUACCCGCGUAGUCCCUGUCUCUUAUAC
rnacentral:rRNA from 1 species